ACGAGCAAACUUAAAACCCAAAGGACUUGACGGUGUCCCAUUCCCCCUAGAGGAGCCUGUUCUAUAAUCGAUAAACCCCGCUUUACCUCACCACUUCUUGCCCAUUCAGCCUGUAUACCUCCGUCGUAAGCUUGCCCUGUGAACGUCUAUUGAGCAAGCCCAAAGGCCUUACCACCAGUACGUCAGGUCAAGGUGCAGUCCAUGAAGUGGGAAGCAAUGGGCUACAAUUUCUAAGCUAGAAUAAACGAAAUACUGCAUGAAACACAGUCAUGAAGGCGGAUUUAGUAGUAAAAAAGAAUCAAUAAGCCUUUUUUAAUCCGGCCCUGGGACGUGUACACACCGCCC
rnacentral:rRNA from 1 species